AUGUCCGGCAGGCUGGUCCGGCGGGUCCUCCAGGAGAGGGAGGCCUCCCCGCAGGACCCCGCCGAGGACGCCCUCGUGGUGGUGCAGGAGGAAGAGGAGGAGGAGGAGGCGGGCUCCCCUACCCGCGUCGCCGCCAGGAACCCCUUCGACCUCCUCGACGACGACGACGACGAGCCAGAAGAGGACAAGGAAGAUGAAGUGCAUACUGAUCAAACUGCGAGUUAUACAGAACAGAAACAAUAUGUGAAAAAGAAGCCUAACGGCGCUGUUCCUGAAACAAACAAGAAAUCAAAGAAGAAGAAGAAAAAGGGCAAGGCGGAACCACCAGCCUCGGCGAAGUCGAGGGAUGAGAAAUCACUGGACUCAAUUCUGGAAGAUCUAGCUAUUGAAAAGAGGCCCAUGCAAAAAAGUGUUCAUCAAAAUGACAGAGCAACUGGGAAGGAGAUUCAGACAAUUGAAAUGACUGCUGGGACAUCCUCAGUUCUUGCAAUUGAUCCCAAACAUCUCAAGGCUGAAAAUGAGAUGAGGCGCAUUUUUGGAUCAAAGGUAGUUGAUUCACUUGAAAACCAGCGGAAUAUGCCUGGCACUUCAAGGCAAGUGCGUGGUGUUAGGCGUGCUGGCCUUAAUCCUAGAAGAACCCUACUUGUAUCUCCACCUGGCUUCUGGCCAGCAUGGGAUAAGUCAAUGUCAAUGGAUCUUGUUGAGACAAAGGGAAGUUUGAAAUAUUUCAGGUACGUAUAUGAUCCUUCUGUCAGCCAUGUGCAGGAAUUGUUUGAAGCUGCCAAGUCAGCCAAUGACCUCAAUGCCAUUGCUGCUAUAUUAGCAAAAUACCCCUACCAUCCAGACUCGCUAUUGACAUUUGCUGAUCUGUUCAAAUAUUCUGGAGAACAUCAAUCAUCAGCAGACGCUGUUGAGAAGUGUCUAUUUGCACUAGAGUGUGCUUGGCAUCCACUAUUUAAUCCACUGCAGGGCAACUAUCAGUUGAAAUACAGCCAUGACUUAAACAAGCCAUUUUUUACAGCCCUUUUCGGUCACAUGAAAAAUCUGGAUAGGCGUGGUUGUCACCGUUCAGCUUUAGAGGCCUGCAAGUUUCUUUUGUCAUUGGAUUCUGAUGACCCAAAGGGUGCUCUGUUUUGCAUUGAUUACUUUGCUCUAAGAUCGCAGCAGUACAAAUGGUUGGAACAGUUUGCUGAAGAGUACCAGUGUGAUAACUCCCUCUGGCUGUUUCCUAAUUUCUCCUUUUCUCUAGCCAUUGCACGGUUUUAUCUUGAACGUGAUGCUGAGGAUGUUUCUGAUCAUGCUGACAAGUCAACAGCUGUUGAUCUCAUGAAGCAAGCAUUGAUGCUUCAUCCUCUGGUGCUUUCUAAGAUUGUUGACAAGGCUCCUUUGAAGGACUCUUCAUGGACCCAAAUACUCAAGAAUGCGUUCUUUGGAUCAGCAAAGCCAGGAAGCCCUUCACUUGAGCAUGUGAUUAACAUAUAUGUUGAGCGUCAUUAUAUCAUGUGGAGGUUCCCGGAACUUCAGAACUUACUCAAAGAAGCUGCUCUUCUGGUGAUUGAAUCACUAAAGCACGACAGCAGAGAAGCCCAGGACUGGGCAUGUGUUAUGAAAGAGGCAUUCUCUUCAGAAAAGAAUGAGUACUCUCAUCUGCUUGUUUCAGACUUCUCUGACACAACACCAUCGCUCCCUCCUGAAGAACUGCGGCCAUUUAUGGUUGGUCCAGGAAUGGCGCAUGAUAUGCCGCCUGUUGAACAAGAAGCUGGGCCUGAGAGAAUACAUGCCCCUCUUGAAGUUGUUGGGCGCAACGCUGCGAGGGUCUUCCUGGAAUCACUGCUCCCAUGGGUCAACUACGGGGACAACCGUCACGGCGGAAAUGAUCAACACGAUGAUGAUUGA
rnacentral:rRNA from 1 species